rnacentral:rRNA from 1 species
AGAAUCAACGCUGGCGGCGUGCCUAACACAUGCAAGUCGAACGAGAAAGGGACUUCGGUCCUGAGUAUAGUGGCGCACGGGUGAGUAACACGUGAAUAAUCUACCUCCGAGUGGGGAAUAACCAAGAGAAAUCUUGGCUAAUACCGCAUAACACUUACGAGUCAAAGCAGCAAUGCGCUUGGAGAGGAGUUCGCGGCCGAUUAGUUAGUUGGCGGGGUAAUGGCCCACCAAGACGAUGAUCGGUA